rnacentral:rRNA from 1 species
ACUCCUACGGGAGGCAGCAGUGAGGAAUAUUGGUCAAUGGAGGGAACUCUGAACCAGCCAUCCCGCGUGUAGGAAGACGGCCUUAUGGGUUGUAAACUACUUUUAUACAGGGAAGAAACGUACCCUCGUGAGGGUGCCUGACGGUACUGUAGGAAUAAGCACCGGCUAACUCCGUGCCAGCAGCCGCGGUAAUACGGAGGGUGCGAGCGUUAAUCGGAAUUACUGGGCGUAAAGCGCAUGCAGGUGGUUUGUUAAGUCAGAUGUGAAAGCCCGGGGCUCAACCUCGGAAUUGCAUUUGAACUGGCAAACUAGAGUACUGUAGAGGGGGUAGAAAUUUCAGGUGUAGCGGUGAAAUGCGUAGAGAUCUGAAGGAAUACCGGUGGCGAAGGCGGCCCCCUGGACAGAUACUGACACUGCA